GAUGAACGCUGGCGGCGUGCCUAAUACAUGCAAGUCGAGCGAACGGACGAGAAGCUUGCUUCUCUUAUGUUAGCGGCGGACGGGUGAGUAACACGUGGAUAACCUACCUAUAAGACUGGGAUAACUUCGGGAAACCGGAGCUAAUACCGGAUAAUAUUUUGAACCGCAUGGUUCAAAAGUGAAAGACGGUCUUGCUGUCACUUAUAGAUGGAUCCGCGCUGCAUUAGCUAGUUGGUAAGGUAACGGCUUACCAAGGCAACGAUGCAUAGCCGACCUGAGAGGGUGAUCGGCCAUACUGGAACUGAGAGACGGUCCAGACUCCUACGGGAGGCAGCAGUAGGGAAUCUUCCGCAAUGGGCGAAAGCCUGACGGAGCAACGCCGCGUGAGUGAUGAAGGUCUUCGGAUCGUAAAACUCUGUUAUUAGGGAAGAACAUAUGUGUAAGUAACUGUGCAUAUCUUGACGGUACCUAAUCAGAAAGCCACGGCUAAGUACGUG
rnacentral:rRNA from 1 species